GAUGAACGCUGGCGGCGUGCCUAAUACAUGCAAGUCGAGCGAACAGAUUAUGAGCUUGCUCCUCUGACGUUAGCGGCGGACGGGUGAGUAACACGUGGAUAACCUACCUAUAAGACUGGGAUAACUUUGGGAAACCGGAGCUAAUACCGGAUAAUAUAUUGAACCGAAUGGUUCAUUAGUGAAAGACGGUUUUGCUGUCACUUAUAGAUGUAUCCGCGCCGCUGUAGCUAGUUGGUAAGGUAACGGCUUACCAAGGCAACUAUGCGUAGCCGACCUGGGAGGGUGAGCGGACAGACUGGAACGGAGACACGGUCCAGACUCGUACGGGAGGCAGGAGUAGGGAAUCUUCCGCAAGGGGCGAAAGCCAGACGGAGCAACGCCGCGUGAGGGAUGAAAGUAUUCGGAUCGGAAAAUACAGUUAUUAGGGAAGAAAAAAUGGGUAAGUAACGAUGCACGAAUUGACGGUACCUAAGCAGAAAGCCACGGCUAACUACGUG
rnacentral:rRNA from 1 species